rnacentral:lncRNA from 1 species
ACCACCAAAACAAAAUGGUCUCCUUUUUCUCAUUUGGGUCUCCUGGGAUCCUGUCAUCUGUGCUCCCACACACUGUACCUCAGGAAAAGAUAGGAAAGGCAAGGAGACGAAAGCUCAGCAAGUCCUCAGUUUCCCCAGAUCACACAUUCAAGGUCUGUCUGAAUCUAUGAUGUGUGCCUGCCACACUUGGUCCUAAGAAGGUCGGUUCUUCAGCUAUGCCACUUCCCCUCUCUCCAUGCCUAGAUGGGUUAUGCUGACUUUCUACUUUAACUCUUCUUUCAAAGUCAAGCGAUAUCAAAAUAAUCAUGUAAUUCCAUAAGAAGUGCUCUUCUGCAGGAAGAAAGCGUAGCUGAGACAGUUAAUUUUCCAGACAACACAAGAGUUCCCUUUCAAAUCACUGAAGUCAGAGGCAUCUGAUAACAAAUGGAGUGUGCCAUUUUUCUGAAGCGAGAGACAACCCUGGAGCUGAUUUUCUGUGUGUGUAACAAUGGUGUCUACAGGCAGAGCUGAGCCUCCGCACAGGAGUCUGCACAUCUUUGCAUCUGAGACAGUUGGUACAAGUCAGAACAAUUCACUGGAAUUCCCCAAGGAAUUAAAUCCUCCAGGAUCUUUAA